rnacentral:lncRNA from 1 species
UACACGGUACGAAGACUUAGGCUUAAGUCUUAAUUUGGUAUUGAAGCCUAUCUAACAUUAUUAGAUAAAAUAGAGUUGAGAAAAUAGUAUAGGACAUCAGAAAAUAUAUCGUAAUCGAUUCAUCGCCAUAUGCGGAACGUAAUAUUAUAUACGGAAACAAAUAAAAUAUUUUUCUAAUGUUCUUUUUCAUCGUACGUAACGCAAUCUCUCCGUAAUCCCAAACCAAACCUUAGUUUGGUAUUGACAUAAAUCUAACGCUAUUAGAUAAAAUAAAGAGAAAAAGUAUAUAGGGAUUUGCUUUUGUGUUCUCCGAUGGAACCGCAAAAAAUAUAUCGUAACUGACUAACCGUAAUAUGCGGAACGCAAUAUUAUGUACGAAAAUAAACAGUAUAUUUUUUCAUCGUCAUUUCUUACCGCACAUAACGCAAUCUUUCCACAAUUCCAAACGAAUCCUAAAUAUAUAAUAAUUAAUACUUACAUAAUCAAAAAUUUAUUUAUGUUUUAAAUUGAAAUUG